CAGUGGGAUUAUCUCUGUCAAACCUGCAGUCGCUUUAUUUUUGAUGUGCAAAGUAGAUUUUGACAGUUUGAGCCUGUCUGCACCGAAAAGGCAUAAAAAUAUCUAAGACUCGGAUUCUGUCAACACCAAUUAAAGGAGGACUUCAGAGCGAUCAGAGUGUUACUGUGUGCCACCAUUACUCCCAGAUCUUCCAAUAACUUGGUGCUGGUCACACAAACAGAAAACUGGAAUAAUGUGCUUUUCUUUCUUCUCUUUCGAAGGAAAUUAAAUUUAGCCCGUGGAUAAAUUUAUUAUCACACAGCACCAUCUCCCCAUUGAUUCAGGCAGCUGCUUAAAAACCCACAGCAGCAGCCCCCUGAGCUGUUAUUGUGUUUCCUUUAGCGAAAACAAACACAGAUAACACAUCUUCUCAAUCUCCCUGCCUUCCAUGCUGUCAUAUCUUUUUCCCUCUGUAUUCAUUUCCUUUGUCUAAGCAACUUUGACAGACAGGUGGGAUAUGGUGCAAUGCUGCGACCUGUGGAGCCAUCAGUGUUCCCCGGGGCCUAUUUUGACCACAAGUCAUUGGUUGGUUGCACACCCUAAGGUUAUUUCAGGAUGGCGUGCUAGAACGAGGCACUGAGCGUAAUUUGCACUUUAGAAAUCUCACAUUUUCUUUGAUUGGAUGUACCUCGGUGGGAACAUAUUGCAGAAUAUUAAAUUUUGCACAGUGUUCUGGAAAGUGGCGUUCCUCCUCACUAAGUCAAAGUUUUGUGUCAAAUUGUAGCAUGGAUCUGCAUAUCAGUGGCAUAAAAGAUUAUAACUUAGCAAUUCCCACUCACUGACGGGACUUCAACCCUGAGGAAUCGCCUUUAUUUUCUUUUUCAAUCAUCAGCGUCCCGUGACAUGCCCUGCUUUAUGAGAUCUAUUGUAAGCUCUUGAAAGAUCAGAUUUCAAGUGCCAAGUUUAUUUUUUUUCUGACACAACUAUCACUGCAAAUGGAGUUUCAGUGGAGCAGCGUGAGGCUCAAAGAGAAUCCAUGAGAAAUAGAAAAUGACUGUGCAUUUAUCGCUGGUAGAUAGAGCCACACUGCGGGCAAAACACGAUGCUGGUUCAUUCAUUCAUUGAAACGUGGUAAAUAAUAAGCAUCCAGUGAAGGUAUGUGAAGUAUAUGUAAGCUGACCUCAUUUAUGGGCUGUAAUUCAUGGUAACUGCUAUUUUUCUGUUUAUAAGAUUCAAGCCCAACAUAAUUAUACAUAAUUAUGUGUGCAAAUGAAACAUAAUUAUGCCCUGAAGGUCAUCAUCAGAGAGUAUUAAAUGCUCUGAAUUGUCAAGAAAAUAAGAGCAAAGACAUUCAUAAAAUGUUGUGUUUCCAUAACUGUUUUGUAUUUAUUUGUUUCAUUUAAACUUAACAUUUUUACAUGUUUAUGCGCACAUUGGGAACAGUUUUACUCACUAAGAGGAAACACUCUCACCUGACAAAGUGUGAUUUAUUCCUAUAAUAAAGAUCAGGUUAAGCCUUCGACUCUUGUCGUACGCUUUGGGAAACAGCCUGCUCAUUUCCUGAGCUGGGUGUCGAGCAUAUCUUGUACAUCAGCGCUCAGAAAUACUGAUUGUCUUCACACUGAAGAACGGUGAGGAAGGAGCCUCGUCUAAGGUCGAGUGAAGCAAAUCUGUUUGUGACAUGUAGUAUUUUAUUUCAUACAGAAACUACGUGUGUUGUUGUAGCAAAAGCUAACAGGGUUACUUGUAAGGCAGCCAGUUAUACUGCUGUGUACUGUCAGGAUUAUGCCUGGAAUAAUGGGACUAUAAAUUUGAUGUGUUCCCUCGUGCUCACUGGUGGAAGAAAUUAUGACACUGGUUUACCUUCAAAUAA
ensembl:lncRNA